rnacentral:rRNA from 1 species
UACGGGGGGAGCAAGCGUUGUUCGGAUUUACUGGGCGUAAAGGGCGCGUAGGCGGCCACCGCAAGUCGACUGUGAAAUCUCCGGGCUUAACCCGGAAAGGUCAGCCGAUACUGCGGGGCUAGAGUGCAGAAGGGGCAACUGGAAUUCUCGGCGUAGCGGUGAAAUGCGUAGAUAUCGAGAGGAACACCUGCGGCGAAGGCGGGUUGCUGGGCUGACACUGACGCUGAGGCGCGAAAGCUAGGGGAGCGAACGGG